CUUGCUUUCUCUUGAGAGCGGCGGACGGGUGAGUAAUGCCUAGGAAUCUGCCUGGUAGUGGGGGAUAACGUUCGGAAACGGACGCUAAUACCGCAUACGUCCUACGGGAGAAAGCAGGGGACCUUCGGGCCUUGCGCUAUCAGAUGAGCCUAGGUCGGAUUAGCUAGUUGGUGGGGUAAUGGCUCACCAAGGCGACGAUCCGUAACUGGUCUGAGAGGAUGAUCAGUCACACUGGAACUGAGACACGGUCCAGACUCCUACGGGAGGCAGCAGUGGGGAAUAUUGGACAAUGGGCGAAAGCCUGAUCCAGCCAUGCCGCGUGUGUGAAGAAGGUCUUCGGAUUGUAAAGCACUUUAAGUUGGGAGGAAGGGUUGUAGAUUAAUACUCUGCAAUUUUGACGUUACCGACAGAAUAAGCACCGGCUAACUCUGUGCCAGCAGCCGCGGUAAUACAGAGGGUGCAAGCGUUAAUCGGAAUUACUGGGCGUAAAGCGCGCGUAGGUGGUUUGUUAAGUUUGGAUGUGAAAUCCCCGGGCUCAACCUGGGAACUGCAUUCAAAACUGACUGACUAGAGUAUGGUAGAGGGUGGUGGAAUUUCCUGUGUAGCGGUGAAAUG
rnacentral:rRNA from 1 species